UACGUAGGUGGCAAGCGUUGUCCGGAAUCACUGGGCGUAAAGCGCGCGUAGGCGGGCUGCCGAGUCCGGGGUGAAAGCCCCCCGCUCAACGGGGGAACGGCCUCGGAUACUGGCGGCCUGGAGGCGGGUAGGGGCGUGCGGAACUGUGGGUGGAGCGGUGAAAUGCGUUGAGAUCCACAGGAACUCCGGUGGCGAAGGCGGCACGCUGGACCCGAACUGACGCUGAGGCGCGAAAGCCAGGGGAGCGAACGGG
rnacentral:rRNA from 1 species